CAAACGGGCCAAUAGGCAGAAUGAUCUGUGAAGCUGAGGAAUUUGAUCCGGCACUGAAGGCUAUUGCAACCAUUGCCGAGACAGAAGAAAAGCCAAAAAACGAUUGCCAAGCCUGAAAGUUCCCCAUCAGACGGGAGUCUCGGUAGCCAGUCUUGCUAUCCCUUCUGCAUCUAGAUUGUCUCAGGGUGUGAUCCAGAUGUUUUACUUUAUUGUCUUACUUUCCGAUGUAAACCCUUCUAUCUUCAAAAAUUUAAAAAAACACAAAAAAAAAUCAAAAAAAAAAUCAAAAAAAUCAAAUGAAAUUGAUAUUUCAUUUUCCCGGAAUGUCUCUUUUUUUUAAAUCUUGUAAAUUUUCUCAUUCUCUUUUAGUUCUGUUAAAUGCAGAUUUCAAUAAUAUGACAUGCUUGCGGACUUCAUGCCCGGAUCUUAAAACUCUGUCAGACCUCGAAAUAAUGAAUCAAGAAUUGGGUCGCAAUGAAGAAUAGCUUAAGGAAACAAGACAAAGAGUUGGAACAACUGAAGGAAAAUUGGUUCCCGCAAUUGGAAAGGUCCAUACAUUACAACAAGAGUACUGCCAAAAA
rnacentral:lncRNA from 1 species